rnacentral:misc_RNA from 1 species
UUUCCGUAGGUGAACCUGCGGAAGGAUCAUUAUCGUACAUCGUGUGAGGGGCAUGCGAGGGCUAUCGCUGACCCAAAAGUCGUUCACGCCCGUGUGUGUCCUGUUGCAUAAUAAUCCAUCUCACCCUUUGUGCAUCACCGCGUGGGCACCCUUCGGGAUCAUCUCGGAGGGGGGCUCGCGUUUUCACACAAACCCCCCUUUUAAAAGUGUAGAAUUACCACAUUUAUGCAAUCAAUACAACUUUCAACAACGGAUCUCUUGGCUCUC